UGGGGGAUAUUGCACAAUGGAGGAAACUCUGAUGCAGCAACGCCGCGUGAAGGAUGAAGGUCUUCGGAUUGUAAACUUUUGUACUUGGGGACGAUAAUGACGGUACCCAAGCAGCAAGCUCCGGCUAACUACGUGCCAGCAGCCGCGGUAAUACGUAGGGAGCAAGCGUUGUCCGGAUUUACUGGGUGUAAGGGUGCGUAGGCGCUAUGCAAGUCAGUUGUGAAAACUAUGGGCUCAACCCAUAGCCUGCAAUUGAAACUGCGUGGCUUGAGUGAAGUAGAGGUAGGUGGAAUUCCCGGUGUAGCGGUGAAAUGCGUAGAGAUCGGGAGGAACACCAGUGGCGAAGGCGACCUACUGGGCUUUAACUGACGCUGAGGCACGAAAA
rnacentral:rRNA from 1 species